UGGCGGCGACUGCCGCAGGAAGAGGCGGAGCGGCGGCGCCUCCUCACGGCUUCACCCGCGGGAGGCGCCGCCCCAGCCCGGGGCUCUUAUAGCCGGGAGGAGCGGAGCCGCGCCCUCACGGCUGCACCCUCCCCCGGGACCGCCCCAGCCCGGAACACUCAGAGCCAGGUGAAGGAACCGCCUCCUCAGGGCUUCACUCGCCUCGGUCUGGGGGUCUUGUACCGAGUCCGAGCCGAGCCAACCGCUCACAGCUUCACCCGCCCCUUCACAGGUUGCCUCAGCCCGGGGGUCUCGUGCCCAGGCGGAGCAGAGCCUUCUCCUCACGGCUUCACACGCCUCAGCCUGGGGCUCUCGUACUCCGGCGGAGCGAAGCAGAGCCGCCCACCUCCCGGCUUCACCCGCCUCAGGAGCCGCCCCUCAGCCCGGGGUCUUGUACAGAGCUGUCCCCUCCCGGCUUCACCCGUCUCAGGAGCCGCCCCUCAGCCCGGGGUCUCGUACAGAGCUGUCCCUUCACAGCUUCGCCCGCCUCAGCCCGGGACACUCGCACCCGGCGAGGGAGCGGCGGGACCCCUGAGGGGAGCCAUGAGCCGUCAGGCCUAUUUUUGUACUUCCUUUGCCUCUGUGGAGCCUCACGGACUGCACGGAGCUCCUUAAACCCAUAGAGGUUUACCCGCAGUAUCAGACACGAGGGGAAAGGUUUAUUUUCUCUGUGCAGGCGCCAAUAACGCCAGGCAGAGCAACUGGAUCGACUGCAGUAAGGAAUGAGAGGCAGAGAAAAGGAACAGGUGGAAAUAUGGAGCAGUGGAAAAACGAGUGCCAGCACAGAGUUUGCAGCCAGGGAUGCUUCCAGCCAGGACAGGUAACGCCCUCGGUUGUUCUGCUGGGGGUUCCAUCACAAGACCCUUGUGUGUGAGCCACACUGAAGGGUGUGAAGGGAGAGGGAGCAAAUUCCAUGGUGAUUCAGAGGACAAUCUCCCCAGUGCAGAGGUGGAAACCCCAUUGCACCUCAUUUUAAUUGCCAGCACCACGUCGAGCAGGUAAACAAACUCUUAAUGACUGCACAUGCAUUUCACUGCUCAUGGAGCUGUGCUGGGAAGGGUUAAACCCCAGUUUGUGCACAAAGGUGAAGCUAAACACUGGCUAUUGUUUUAAAAAAGAGGACACCACUAUAAAACAGUAGUUUUCAGGAACAGUGAGACAAACAAAACUGGUUUUAUCAUUUGUUUAAGUGUGGGUCUUUUAGAUUUAAAUGGUUCCUCAAAAAUUAUUCCGGGGGCUUUGUAAUUUUACAAGGCUGGACUAAAUUGGUAAGUAAGCGUUUCAAGACCAGCACAGAGAAUGAAUUUGGAUUUCAGGUUGAAAACAGGUCCAGAGGGGAUAAAAUGCAAAUACUCCAACAUAAUUCCAUAGUUUAUAUGAGGCACAUCUACCACAAUAAUUCCUAGCACAUCAUCUGUUACAACAAAACCAGCAUGGAACUACUUACAGUGCAGUUUUCAGAAAAUAGUGUCUUAAGUUGGUUUGAACAUUAAAUUGUUCAGUUAUGUCAUUUGAAUGGUUUCACAGGAUUUUUUUCUAUGUAUCUGUUAAGACAUGGAUAAUCCCAUUAAUAAGAUAUCACUCUAUAAGGAGUCAGGACAAGUCCAGUUCAUAUCCCAAAACCACGGACAAAGCAUUUACACAACAGCCAUGUUACCAUUUUCAUCCUCCACAAUAUUGUCAUUUUCUUUUUCAUUCUUGUUUGUGUUUAAAUUAGAAGCCAAAAGCAUUUACAAACAUGCCUGUUCCAAAUGCAACAUUAUCAGAUUGUUCUCUCUCCCUUUCUCCUUUAUCUUUUUUGUUUCUUUCCAUUUCCAAGUGUGGUGAUGUUGAGGGUGGUUAUUUCAUGACUCAUGUUUCCAUUCAGUAGCAUUUUUUUGUUCUCUUACAGAGAGUGCAGUCAAAUUAGUCCUGUCCUGGACAAGUUCUUUAUUUCUGCUUCAUCUGUGGAUUUUCCAUAGAGGUGUCCCUCAAUUUCCCACCCAAGCUACGUUCCAAAUGACCGAGGAAGUUAAUGCACCAACCUCUUAUGAAAGCACCUUUUUUCUUAUCAAUCCUUCCUGCUCCUCAGUGCUUUGGUGGCCUGUAAUUGCAAUUAAUGGUGAUAUAUUUCUUUAGCAGUCAAAGGGCAGAAAAACCAUAGUUUACUGCAUCCCUGGCUGAGUGUAUGCUAUUACCUGGUCUUCUCAGGAGUGAAGAAACUGCUCCCGUGGCCAGUCUGAGCCUUGGGGUCAUUCCCAUCCUACAGAACUGCCUGCCUGCAGCUGUAAAGGUCAGGAGUGGUUCUAGGUUUCAGCUCUCUGUAUAACGCCUUAGAACCCAAUGAUAUCAAUUCCAUGGUCCAGGGAGGAAAAGGUGUCACCCUUGAAUUUUGUGUUCUGUUUUCUUUCCCAUGCAACCUCAUUCCUUUACUUUCAAGGAAUGGAUCUCCAAGCAAAGAUCUCUUCCUGCUGGUUUGCAGCCAUCCCUUAUUAUCUGGUGGCCAGCUGUGGUUUUAGGAGAGGAAAUAAUUAUAGAAUCAUAGAAUGGUUUGGGUUGGAAGGGACCUUAAAGCCCAUCCAGUGCCACCCCCUGCCAUGGGCAGGGACACCUCCCACUAGCCCAGGUUGCUCCAAGCCCCAUCCAACCUGGCCUUGGACACUUCCAGGGAUCCAGGGGCAGCCACAGCUUCUCUGGGCAACCUGUGCCAGGGCCUCCCCACCCUCACAGGGAACAAUUCCUUCCCAAUAUCCCAUUCUUCCCAUAUCUAACCUUGUCCUUUGUCAGGGGGAAGCCAUUCCCCCUCAUCCUGGCACUCCAGGCCCUUAUAAAUAGUCUCUCUCCAUCUUUCUUGCAGGCUCCCUUCAUGUCAUGGAAGGUAAUUUUAUGUCUGCAAUCAGGUCACCCCAAAGCUUCUCCUCUCCAGGCUGAACAAUCCCAACUCUCCCAGCCUUUCCUCCCAGCAGAGCUGCUCCAGCCCUCUGAUCCUCUUGGGGCCUCCUCUGGACUGGCUCCAGCAGCUCCAUGUCCUUGCUGGGCUGUUCCCAGGGCUGGAGCAGCUCUGCAGGGGGGUCUCCCCUGAGGGGCAGAGGGGCAGAAUCCCCCCCUGCCCUGCUGCCCACGCUGGGGGAUCAGCCCAGGGCACGGGGGGUUUCUGGGCCGGGGCAGGUCCAGCCUCUGCCCCACCAGCACCCCCAGGGCCUUCUGCCUGGGCUGCUCCAUCUGCUCAUCCCCAGCCUGGAUUGAUCCCAGGGGUUCUCCUGACCCAGGGGCAGCACCAGCACUUGGCCUGUCAGUUGUUGUCAGUCUUUGAGCUUUGCAGUCCCAAAGGACCAGGAAAGUCAGGCACUUGGGAGUGGUGCUGUUGGGACACUCUGCUGGGUGUCAUCUUCAGACCAAGGCAUUGGCUCAGAGCAAAACCUGUCCUUGAUUCCUUUGCUAUUGAGUUAUUCUCCCUUAGCAAGUGAAUUCCCAGCUUUGAAGGCAGAAAGCAAACUCAACAACAUCCAAAUGCAUCCUCCAGACAAGCCAACUUUAUCUUACUCCAGCAGAUGAGCGCCGCAGACAUCCUGCCCAGCCAGCAGCCCAGGUGUGAUCCCCAGGAGAGUGUCACUGUUCUGGCUCUGGGCCUGGGCAGGAGGGGUGGGGCAGGGCAGGGCAGAGCCGAGCUGAUGGGAGUCUGGUCUGGCAUAAAGAGGGGCAGAAAGAUGGAGGGGUGUGGUGGAGACUCACAGGAGGUGGAGGGUGUGGGCUUGGAGCAGCUUUUGGGUCACGCCUUCACACUUGGAGAUGAUGGACCAGCACAGCAGCUUUGGGGGUUUCUUGUGCACUUUGUAGCAUCGAUAACUGAGCUGCUUUUAUUUCUCCCACGAGGAGGGUAACCCUCUUCCCCGAGAACUUCCCUGGCUCACAUGCAGCAGCUUGUGUUUGUGCUUAGCAAGCACAGCUGAGUUGCUGCUGCUGGUGGGCGAGAUGGUGGCAUCCAGAAACCCAGGCUGUUGAUCCUCUGUCAGCUGGCAUCACAUCUCAGCCCAGUGCAAAGCCAUGUCAGCAGAGUGGGGCUCACUUUGAUGCAUGUUUUUGUACCCUGGGUGCAAAACUGCUUUGAUCUGGGGACACUGCCAGGUCCCUGCUGCUUCUUUGGAAGUGUGGGCUCUUCAGAGGCACUUCCUGCUCUUCUGGGGAGCCCUUUGUGUUCUCUGUGAGCAGAGAGCAGGAACAGGUUCACUGCUCCCAAGGAAAGCAAGGGGCUUUGCCUUACCUGAUGGCACAUUCUGGUUGGCAGUUGUAGAACUGCAAAAGGAACAACACGUGCACUGAUAAUUACUGCUUUCUGCAAAAAGGGUUGAAUCCAGAUCUCAUCCAUUCCGUCCUAAUGGAGAGAGAGGGACCAUCUCCUAAUACUUUUGGUUGCUGCUUUUUGUUCAUUUAAGUGGCCUGUAAUGAGGGCAGAGCCACCACCUGAUUGCUGUGGGGAAUGGCUCCAGAGGCACAGCCAUGUCCUAAGGAGGCUGUGUGUCACAUGCCUUGUUCUCCCAGAAAACACGGAAACCUCUGGGGAUCCCGAGUGGUUUGGCCUCUUUGCAAGCAGAGUUUCUGGUCUUGCAGUGUGGCUUCACCCUGUGUGGGCAACUCUGUCAGCCUGGCCACCCCAUAAUUAUGUGGUUGUCUUUCUGGAGCACGUCAGGCCCUUCCAGUUCUUGAGCAGUGUGACCCCACACAGCAAAACAGUCGGGCUGUGGGAUGGCUUGGAAUGUCAAAAACGCAGAGAUAAAUUCAGAAAGCCUCAAAAUCCAGCCAAGCUGGGUUUUCCAAGACUAAAAAUAAAUAAUAACAGUUUCUUUUUCCAGGUAAGUAAGAGGAGGAUAGAAACUACACAAUGUGGAUGUGUGCUCUGUAUAUGGAAAAGGAAAAUUUCUGGAUUGUAUUUUCACCAAAUAACAGGCAGAAAGAAACUCAAAGAUUUGAACAUGCUCAAUGCAAGGGACUAGUCAGAACAGUGAAAGAACUGGACAGGACAAGAGCAAAUGGCUUCAGGUGGCACCAGGGGAGGGUCAGGUUGGCCAUGAGGAGGAAUUUCUUGCUGGAA